AAGAAACCAAUUUGCCAUGGCAACAGACCACUCAGAUGCUGGCCCCUCCUCCAGGCCCAGCCAACUACUGCCCCUUCCUGAAGGACAGUCUAACCUCCUUGGCAGCAGGCAGAAGCCAGGAAGGCACUCCUGGAGGAAGCGGGUGUCAGGCUGCCUGGCUUGAGGCCAUGCGUGGCUGAUUGCUGACCCGUGUCUCUGAGCGUCUUCCUAGCAGAGAGCCAGACCAGAGUUCCCCCACUCUCCUUCAGUUUCAACCUUUCAAAACCCAUGUCAUGGACACCAAGACUCCAGGGACUUCCGGAAAUAGCCUUCUUUAGGCUGUCUGCUGAGCCAAAUGGGAAACUGAGGCCCAGAGAUGGAAGAGAGGCAAUACUGAUGCUGAUCUGGAGCUAACUAGCUACAGCAGACUCUGCCAGCUGGUGACUUGGACAAGCAUAUCUACCCAGCUACCUCUUUGCUGUCAGUUGAGGAUAAAACCAGCACCUGCUCCCUGGACACUGAGGAGAGACCUUCAGGGGCACAUGAACCCUAGGAUACGGAUAAGAAACCAACAAGGUUUGCUGCCUACUGUGGCUGCUGCCAGAGGUACCAGUAUCCCCGGAGUCCUUCUGAUGUACACCCACCCCCAACACUGAAACCUGCUGGCUGAGCUAUACUUCCCCCAAGAAGUCAACUCAAGCAGAGACCGAU
ensembl:lncRNA